rnacentral:misc_RNA from 1 species
UCUAGACUGGCUACAUGUCUGCUAC